CUACGGCUGCUGCAGUGGGGAAUAUUGCACAAUGGGCGCAAGCCUGAUGCAGCCAUGCCGCGUGUAUGAAGAAGGCCUUCGGGUUGUAAAGUACUUUCAGCGGGGAGGAAGGGAGUAAAGUUAAUACCUUUGCUCAUUGACGUUACCCGCAGAAGAAGUACCGGCUAACUCCGUGCCAGCAGCCGCGGUAAUACGGAGGGUGCAAGCGUUAAUCGGAAUUACUGGGCGUAAAGCGCACGCAGGCGGUUUGUUAAGUCAGAUGUGAAAUCCCCGGGCUCAACCUGGGAACUGCAUCUGAUACUGGCAAGCUUGAGUCUCGUAGAGGGGGGUAGAAUUCCAGGUGUAGCGGUGAAAUGCGUAGAGAUCUGGAGGAAUACCGGUGGCGAAGGCGGCCCCCUGGACGAAGACUGACGCUCAGGUGCGAAAGCGUGGGGAGCAAACAGGAUUAGAUACCCCGGUAGUC
rnacentral:rRNA from 1 species